AGAGAUGUGUGAUGACGCAUAUCAAUAAGCGGAGGAAAAGAAACUAACAAGGAUUCCCUUAGUAACGGCGGGUGAAGCGGGAAGAGCUCAAAUUUGAAAUCUUCAAGGUUCUACCUUGACGAAUUGUAGUUUAUAGAAGUGUUUUCUGUUAGUAGAGUGGCAAAAGUUCUUUGGAAUAGGACAUCAUAGAGGGUGAGAAUCCCGUAUUUGGUCAUUCUUUCUAGCUUUGUGAUACACUUUCAACGAGUCGGAUUGUUUGGGAAUGCAGUCCAAAAUGGGUGGUAAAUUUCAUCUAAAGCUAAAUAUUGGCGAGAGACCAAUAGCGAACAAGUACCGUGAGGGAAAGAUGAAAAGAACUUUGAAAAGAGAGUUAAACAGUACGUGAAAUUGUCAAAAGGGAAGCGUUUGACACCAGUGUUGUUUUUCCGAAAAUCAAUUACGAAUGUUUUGUUUUUGAGAAGUUAUGACUUCAUCGGCUUGCUUCUCUCUUUACGAAACUUUCUUAAUGCACUUUUCGGUUAACAAGUCAACAUCAAUUUCUUUUGUUGUAAAAGGGUAUGAGGAAGGUGGCUUUCUUUUCGGAGAAGGUGUUUAUAGCCUUGUACCUCUGCAAUCGGAGAGAUUGAGGUCUGCAGCGUAGAUCCUUCGGGGUUAGAUACAUUUGUGCUAAGUUAUAGCUUUUCAUAGACAACUUGUUGACUAUGUUAAGUCUUGUAGCUUACUCGCUUAUGCUAUUUUACCUACGCUUAGGAUGUUGAUCUGUAGUGCGUGCGC
rnacentral:rRNA from 1 species